AAGUCGUAACAAGGUUUCCGUAGGUGAACCUGCGGAAGGAUCAUUAUUGAAUAAAUCUGAUGUGGUUGAGCUGGCUCUCUCGGGAGUAUGUGCUCGCUCGUCACCUUUAUCUUUCCACCUGUGCACUUUUUGUAGAUUUGGAUGUUAACUUUUCUGAGGAAACUCAGUUGGGAGGGAAUGUCAUUCGUGGCUUUCCUUGGAUGUCCAGGUCUAUGUUUUCAUAUACUCCAAAAAUGUAACAGAAUGUAUCAAUGGGCCUUGUGCCUAUAAACUAUAUACAACUUUCAGCAACGGAUCUCUUGGCUCUC
rnacentral:misc_RNA from 1 species